GGGGUUAAAAACUUAUGCUAAAAUUUAUAUCCAUCCAAAAAAUAGCGUGUACUGCCAAAAAGAAUCCCUCAUUUUAAUUUCCCCCAAAACACCUCAUUUUAAUUUUUGAAAUUCCUAAACAGCUGCUCAGUACUCUCAUUCCUCUUAUUCUCAGUGUUAAUUCUAUCGUCUUUAAAGGUGAAGUAGUUGCUUGCCCACUAGACGAACCACCGGUACGAGAACGUUAUCUAUUGAGCACUUUUCUAGUACCUCCAGAACCUGCUAUUUAGGGUUAUGACCGUUAGUUUCCACAAGUAUGGGGAUAAGUUUUUUCCUGGAACUGGUGAUAUGAAGAGUGUUGAGGAAUUUGGGAAUAGAGCUGAUCGGAUGAGUAUCGGGACGAAUGAAAUAUUCUUGUAUGCAAGUAUAGAUAUUGAGCAAAGUGAUGCGGCUAGUGGACCCAUUUUUCUCAUGGAUUCAAGGAGACCAUGUGAUGAUAGUGAUCCUAAUAACAGUCGUUGAUUUCAUUGCAAAUUAUCUUGGAUAUUCAAUUAUAAUAAUGUAAUUGUGUGGUUGGAGCGAAUCUUAGAAUAUAGAAUGUUUUGUGGUUAUGUUUGAUUUUGGAGUUUGAAGAUACUAGUUAAUACUGAAAAUCUGGAGUUUGAAGAUGCUAAUGUUGAAAAUUUAUUUUUAAAGUUUAA